CACGGCAAGCCUAACACAUGCAGUCGAGCGGCAGCGACAACAUUGACCCUUCGGGGGAUUUGUUGGGCGGCGAGCGGCGGACGGGUGAGUAAUGCCUGGGAACAUGCCUUAGUGUGGGGGAUAACCAUUGGAAACGAUGGCUAAUACCGCAUAAUCUCUACGGAGCAAAGAGGGGGACCUUCGGGCCUCUCGCGCUAAGAUUGGCCCAGGUGGGAUUAGCUAGUAGGUGGGGUAACGGCUCACCUAGGCGACGAUCCCUAGCUGGUCUGAGAGGAUGAUCAGCCACACUGGAACUGAGACACGGUCCAGACUCCUACGGGAGGCAGCAGUGGGGAAUAUUGCACAAUGGGGGAAACCCUGAUGCAGCCAUGCCGCGUGUGUGAAGAACGCCUUCGGAUUGUAAAGCACUUCAGCAGUGAGGAGGCGGAAUCGUUAAUAGCCGUAUUGUUUGACGUUAGCUGCAGAAGAAGCACCGCCUAACUCCGUGCCAGCAGCGCCGUAAUACGGAGGGUGCGAGCGUUAAUCGGAAUUACUGGGCGUAAAGCGCAUGCAGGCGGCUUGUUAAGCCAGAUGUGAAAGCCCGGGGCUCAACCUCGGAAUCGCAUUUGGAACUGGCAGGCUAGAGUCUUGUAGAGGGGGGUAGAAUUUCAGGUGUAGCGGUGAAAUGCGUAGAGAUCUGAAGGAAUACCGGUGGCGAAGGCGGCCCCCUGGACAAAGACUGACGCUCAGAUGCGAAAGCGUGGGGAGCAAACAGGAUUAGAUACCCUGGUAGUCCACGCCGUAACGAUGUCUACUUGGAGGUUGGUGUCUUGACACUGGCUUUCGGAGCUAACGCGUUAAGUAGACCGCCUGGGGAGUACGGUCGCAGAUAAAACUCAAUGAUUGACGGGGGCCGCACAGCGGUGGAGCAUGUGGAUUAUUCGAUGCAACGCGAGACUACUACUCUGGACAUCCACGGAUCUGCAGGAUGCGGGAGGCCUCGAACCGUGAAACAGGGCUGCAUGCUGCGUCAGCUCGGGUUGUGAAAUGUUGGGUUAAGUCCCGCAACGAGCGCAACCCUUAUCCUUGUUUGCCAGCACUUCGGGUGGGAACUCCAGGGAGACUGCCGGUGAUAAACCGGAGGAAGGUGGGGACGACGUCAAGUCAUCAUGGCCCUUACGAGUAGGGCUACACACGUGCUACAAUGGCAUAUACAGAGGGCAGCAAGACCGCGAGGUGGAGCGAAUCCCACAAAGUAUGUCGUAGUCCGGAUUGGAGUCUGCAACUCGACUCCAUGAAGUCGGAAUCGCUAGUAAUCGUGGAUCAGAAUGCCACGGUGAAUACGUUCCCGGGCCUUGUACACACCGCCCGUCACACCAUGGGAGUGGGCUGCACCAGAAGUAGAUAGCUUAACCUUCGGGAGGGCGUUACUAUCGUUUGA
rnacentral:rRNA from 1 species